UCCCNGUCUCUAGGAUUAUAGGUAUGUGCC
rnacentral:piRNA from 1 species